rnacentral:lncRNA from 1 species
AUCUUUCUACUUUAAGUGUUUAUAAGUUGAUGGAAUCUUUUGAAACUCAUGAGCAAAGAUUGUUUAGGCACAAAGAAUCAUCAUUAGAAAGUAUCUUUCAAUCUAAGCUCAAGGUGUUUUAUAAAAAUCUUCACAGAGAACCAUCUAGUCAUACAUAAGUUAAAAGAGAGUCAUCUAGAGAUAGAAAUCAAAAUAGAAGAAGAGAAAAAAAUAUGAGAGG